AGUGAUAAUGAUAGUAUAAGUAAGCAAACAGACUAACAUUUGAUUGAAGAGUUAACUGAGGGAGAUUAGAAAGUGACAGAUUCUACUCCAGGAGGAGCAAAAAACUAAUGAUUUUUUGCUUUAAAUUCCUUCAGGAAUGGAAAAACUGAACUCAAGUCGGCCAAAAACCCAUUAGAAAUCCAGAACUAAAAAAUUAGAAAAUUUCUAAAAAUCAGUUUCAAAAAAAAAAAAAAA
rnacentral:misc_RNA from 1 species